rnacentral:lncRNA from 1 species
CCCAAGGCCGCACGUCCAACUAAAACUUGCCGUACGUAUGUAGUAAAAUGACAAAAAAUGGCUACCGUAGGUGAUUUGCAAAUGAAAAUGCAGUACAGGACUUCGCCGAAGACGCUCGUUCCAGCAGGGUUGCAGGAUAAAAAAAGCCUAAGUCUGUGGCACAGCAACCGUGGUGUUGUGCGGAUACCAAUUACCAAAACAUAGGUCGAUUAUAGAGGUUUGCGCAUGUAUGCACGUGAUGAGACAGCCACGACACGCAUAUGUUUGCCGAGCCCAGCAUUUGGACAAGAUUGCACGAUGCAUGGGUGGGAGUUUAAGCAUGUCCCAAGAACUAGAAGAAAGUCUGUCCCCGUCACCUCCUGUCACAAACACUGUCCCCGUGCCAGCUUUGUCGGAGCAGCCACGGCGUUUUUAAUUAGCCCCUUUGAUUAGCAACACCUAAAGCGUCCCUGCUCGGUUCUGAUUCUGGCGUUGACGCCUCGAC